GAAAGAAAGCAAGAGUUCAAAAUUUUAUUGAAAAUGUAAUUUGUAAAUACAACAAUGAAGAAUUUCGAGAAAAUUUUCUCGGAAAAUGCCUAUAUCUGCAGAAAAACAAUUGUUUAUUGCUUUGUACAUGCUGGCAACACCAGAUUCAUACAGAUCUGCAGUUACAAAAUUCGACGUUGAUAAGGCAACAGCUUGGCGAGCAAUACGAAGAAUUGUUAAAGUUCUUUGUAAAUAUAGAAAUUAUUCGAUGGCUAAAUCAAAGGGAAUUGGAUGAAUGUAGCCAAAUAUUACAAAUUCAAUAUGGUUUUCCUAGAAUUAUCGGAGCUCUGUAUGGAACACAUAUUUAUAUAUCAGCUCCAACUCGAGAUAGUCAAUUUUAUAUAAAUAAAAAGGGAAGAUACUCUAUUCAGUUACAGAUUCAGCUUAUGUAUUGCAAAAACAUAUUAUAGUGCCAUAUAAAGAUAAUGGUCAUCUAACUGCUCAGGAAAUAUAUUACAAUAGCGUACUCUCUAAAACUAGAAUGAUAGUAAAGAGAUCUGGUUAUUAAAAGGACGAGGAUGGAGAUGUCUUUUGGAUAAAUCACCUAGCGAAGGACAGAUUUGAUUCCAUACUACAACCAGAACCAAUGGUCGUAAAGCAAUUAUUGCAAGACGAAGAAUCAGCGAAAAGAGAAGAAAUAAAAAUUAGAUUAACUACUUAAUUUAUAU